GACGAACGCUGGCGGCGUGCCUAAUACAUGCAAGUAGAACGCUGAAGAGAGGAGCUUGCUCUUCUUGGAUGAGUUGCGAACGGGUGAGUAACGCGUAGGUAACCUGCCUGGUAGCGGGGGAUAACUAUUGGAAACGAUAGCUAAUACCGCAUAAAAUGGAUUAUCGCAUGAUAAUCCAUUGAAAGGUGCAAAUGCAUCACUACCAGAUGGACCUGCGUUGUAUUAGCUAGUUGGUGGGGUAACGGCUCACCAAGGCGACGAUACAUAGCCGACCUGAGAGGGUGAUCGGCCACACUGGGACGGAGACACGGCCCAGACUCCUACGGGAGGCAGCAGUAGGGAAUCUUCGGCAAUGGACGGAAGUCUGACCGAGCAACGCCGCGUGAGUGAAGAAGGUUUUCGGAUCGUAAAGCUCUGUUGUAAGAGAAGAACGAGUGUGAGAGUGGAAAGUUCACACUGUGACGGUAUCUUACCAGAAAGGGACGGCUAACUACGUG
rnacentral:rRNA from 1 species